AAUUUGGAGAGUUUGAUCCUGGCUCAGGACGAACGCUGGCGGCGUGCCUAAUACAUGCAAGUCGAGCGGAUCUUGUCCUUCGGAACAAGGUUAGCGGCGGACGGGUGAGUAACACGUGGGUAACCUGCCUGUAAGACUGGGAUAACAUUCGGAAACGAAUGCUAAUACCGGAUACACAGCUUGGUCGCAUGACCGGGCUGGGAAAGAUGGAGCAAUCUAUCACUUAUAGAUGGACCCGCGGCGCAUUAGCUAGUUGGUGAGGUAACGGCUCACCAAGGCGACGAUGCGUAGCCGA
rnacentral:rRNA from 1 species